rnacentral:misc_RNA from 1 species
GAUGAAGAACGUAGCGAAAUGCGAUAAGUAAUGUGAAUUGCAGAAUUCAGUGAAUCAUCGAAUCUUUGAACGCACAUUGCGCCCGCCAGUAUUCUGGCGGGCAUGCCUGUUCGAGCGUCAUUUCAACCCUCAAGCCCGGCUUGGUGUUGGGGAUCGGCACAGGCGCCCUCGGGCGCCCGCCGUCCCCUAAAUCUAGUGGCGGUCCCGCUGCAGCCUCCUCUGCGUAGUAGUUUUCUCCUCGCAAGGGCAGCUCGGUGGCGACCUCGCCGUAAAACCCCCAACUUCUGAAAGGUUGACCUCGAAUCAGGUAGGAAUAUCCGCUGAACUUAAGCAUAUCAAUAAGCGGAGGA